UAAUACAUGCAAGUCGAGCGAACAGACGAGGAGCUUGCUCCUCUGACGUUAGCGGCGGACGGGUGAGUAACACGUGGAUAACCUACCUAUAAGACUGGGAUAACUUCGGGAAACCGGAGCUAAUACCGGAUAAUAUAUUGAACCGCAUGGUUCAAUAGUGAAAGACGGUUUUGCUGUCACUUAUAGAUGGAUCCGCGCCGCAUUAGCUAGUUGGUAAGGUAACGGCUUACCAAGGCAACGAUGCGUAGCCGACCUGAGAGGGUGAUCGGCCACACUGGAACUGAGACACGGUCCAGACUCCUACAGGAGGCAGCAGUAGGGAGUCUUCCGCAAUGGGCGAAAGCCUGACGGAGCAACGCCGCGUGAGUGAUGAAGGUCUUCGGAUCGUAAAACUCUGUUAUUAGGGAAGAACAAAUGUGUAAGUAACUAUGCACGUCUUGACGGUACCUAAUCAGAAAGCCACGGCUAACUACGUGCCAGCAGCCGCGGUAAUACGUAGGUGGCAAGCGUUAUCCGGAAUUAUUGGGCGUAAAGCGCGCGUAGGCGGUUUUUUAAGUCUGAUGUGAAAGCCCACGGCUCAACCGUGGAGGGUCAUUGGAAACUGGAAAACUUGAGUGCAGAAGAGGAAAGUGGAAUUCCAUGUGUAGCGGUGAAAUGCGCAGAGAUAUGGAGGGACACCAGUGGCGAAGGCGACUUUCUGGUCUGUAACUGACGCUGAUGUGCGAAAGCG
rnacentral:rRNA from 1 species